rnacentral:lncRNA from 1 species
UGACUUUAGAGCUCGAGAUUCGGGACAUGUUAAGCAGAAUUUUCUAAAAAAAUUAAUGAGAUGGAUUAUAGACUGAAUCCAGCAUUUAUGGAGUGGGGACUGGGGAGUGCUCUUGUGGGUUACGGGGAUUAAAUAGUCACAGGGAAAACAACAUGUGUAAGCGAAACGAGUACUACACGAGCUCGUAAGUCAAGUACGGAACGGGCCUUGUCUACGAAGCGGAGCGACCUCGUCUUGCUUGCUUCUGGCGAAGCUUCUAGCACUAGAGAAUAGGCAUUCUAGUAUGGCAGGAAUACUACCUUUUAGGUCGACCACUACAUAGAAGCGAUAGCGAAGCCAAGCCGUAUAAAGGCGAGCAGCCCUUAUAGCAACAGCAAACGGCCUACUUAUAGCCGCCGCCUUGUUUACCUUACAAGCUCAUAAAACGUAUAUAUUGCAUGCAAUAAAUUGAGUACGUUCAACCAAUCCCAUUUUAUGAUGCAACAUGUAAUAUCAUCAGUUACAUUAAAGGCUAGCAUCUUGACUUGGUAAUGGUGUAUAUCAGUUUGAAAUGCAAGUUCUAUGGAAUUCCUGGGUUCCUAGUGUAGUCCAUUAAUAUUUGAUGUUAUAAUGAGUAUUUAGUAUUAUAUGCACUAACGUCAACUAAAGUAUGUCGUUUUGUGCGUACAAGUGUAAUUUGUGCCCGCUGUAGCAUUUUUUGUUGCUGAACUGAGGAAACUUACAGGUGAUUCUUUGUUUGCAAGACAAUUGUGAUUCCAAAUAUCCAUUUUGGGGCAAAAAGAUCUUGUUUGGGCAGGAAGCCAUUUAGGGGCAAAGGGAUCUUGUUUAGACUGGAACUAGGAAGUGCCUGAUUCUGUAGCAAAAAUAUUGGAAGCCUGUGGAAAAAGGUGCUUGAUCAAACAGAAUGAGAUCACCUUUGUAAGUUGCCUUUGACUCCCUACAACUUUAAAGCAUUGAACUUUGUUCUUUUCUUCCUAAUAUGUCUACUUGCACACAUGGUUAUCACAUAACUAUAUAAGUGGAAGUUGUUUAACCAAUAUCCAGGCAAAUGCUAAACUCCAUGACAUUUUGCAGUGUCUAUCACCUGUUGAAUACAGUAGAAAAAUUUAUAUAGAUUCUAGAUUUAGUGGGCUAUGACGGGUCAAUUAUUUCCACCUUAUAACAAUAACUGGACGGGGAAAAGUUGCACACACUCGGUGACAAGAAAGGGAAUACCUAAGUCCAUAAAGGUUUUAUUUUUUAAAGCAUUAUGUCAGUUUGAGGGAUUUGCUAAACUUAACGUGUGAGGUGGUACAUAAUAAAAUAUAUAGUGACAAAGAAAGGUAUCUACUUCCAUUAUGGUAUUAUUUCAUGCAAAAACUCUAUAUAAUUGUAAAUGUGACAACUACGUCACAAAUUACCACAAGAUUUAAGGUAAAUAUACAUAAUAUAUAGUCUUACUAAUGUCUAAAGUACAUGAUCACUUUAGAGCUGGAGUUUCAGGUCAUCAUCAAGCAGAAAAAAAUAUGUUAAAAAUUAAAGGAGCUAUAUGAGAGGUUAACAGAUGAAGGGUAUUGCCCUAAGCUUUCAGAGAUGUUUUUGGAUUAAAUGUAAGAAGAAAGUAUUCAUCUACUUCACCAAAGUGAGAAACUUGUACUUUCAUUUAGACUAGUUAAUUCAAGUCCAUGGACCAUCUUUAGAAUAGUGAUAAACUUGCUUUCUGUGAGGCCGCCACUUUUCUUAGAACUAAUACAGAACUGUUACUAUAGACUAUAGAGAGCUAUAAUUAGGGAUGUUAUAUACUAUUCCAGCAUUUCAGGAGUGGGGAUUGCUCUUGUGGGUUAUGGGGAUCCUUUUGUGAAUGGGAAANNNNNNNNNNNNNNNNNNNNNNNNNNNNNNNNNNNNNNNNNNNNNNNNNNNNNNNNNNNNNNNNNNNNNNNNNNNNNNNNNNNNNNNNNNNNNNNNNNNNCGUUUAGUUCAUAAAGCCCAACUAGUAGAUUUAUUAUGUCUUUAUAUGCAUGAAAAUGUAAUUUGUGCUUGCUGUCACCUUAUUUGGUUCUGAACUAAGUAGACUUACAGGUGAUUAAUAUGUUUCAAAGUCCAUUGUGAUUCCAAAGAUCCAUUCAUGGAAGUAAGGGAUCUUUGCUUGGAUAGGAAGUGCCAGAUUCUGUAGCAAUAAUGGAAGUCCAACCAAAAAGAUGUAAGCUAUCAAACAAGAUGAGAUCACCUUUCACCUUUGUAAGUUGCCUCUGACACUCCCCCUAACUUUCUUUUCUGCAUUGAAGUUGUGUUCUUUUCUUAUGUCUACUUGCACAAAUGUUUAUCACGUAUAAGAAUGUUUUGAAACUACAUUUUGCAGAGCACCAUUUAAAAUGGAUUGAAAUUUUUUCUCUAGAUGUUCACCAUGAUGUACUCUAGACUUGGAGGAUGAUGACUUGCAAAUUAUUUCCAACUUAUAACAAAUAACUGAAGAGGAAAAGUUCUCACGCGGAGUAAAAAGGGAGUAUCCGAGUCCAUGAGGGUAUGAUUUGUGAA